rnacentral:miRNA from 1 species
CUAGUAGGUUGCUUAUUUUAGAA